rnacentral:rRNA from 1 species
CGUACGGCUCAGUAACACGUAGGUAACCUACCCUCAGGACUGAGAUAACCCCGGGAAACUGGGGCUAAUAUUAGAUAGAUAAAAGGUACUGGAAUGUUCUUUUAUCCAAAGCUUUUGCGCCUGAGGAUGGGCCUGCGUCCGAUUAGGUUGUUGGUGGGGUAAUGGCCCACCAAGCCUGCGAUCGGUACGGGCAGUGAGAGCUGAAGCCCGGAGUUGGGGACUGAGACAAGGCCCCAGGCCCUACGGGGCGCAGCAGGCGCGAAACCUCUGCAAUGCGGGAAACCGUGACAGGGGGAUCCCAAGUGCUCAUGCAUUGCAUGGGCUGUUCUUUGGUCUAAGUAACCAGGGGAGUAAGGGCUGGGCAAGACCGGUGCCAGCCGCCGCGGUAAUACCGGCAGCUCAAGUGGUAGCCGCGAUUAUUGGGCCUAAAGCGUUCGUAGCCGGAUAAGUAAGUCUUUGGUUAAAUCCUGCAACUCAACUGUGGGAAAUCUAGGGAUACUGCUUGUCUUGAGACCGGGAGAGGUUAGAGGUACUCCUAGGGUAGGGGUGAAAUCCUGUAAUCCUAGGGGGACCACCUGUGGCGAAGGCGUCUAACUGGAACGGGUCUGACGGUGAGGGACGAAACCUAGGGGAACGAGCCGGAUUAGAUACCCGGGUAGUCCUAGGCGUAAAUGAUGCGAGUUAAGUGUGGGGGCAUCUACGAGAUGGCCCUGUGCUGUAGGGUAGCCGUU